GGUUUUUAAAGACGGCCAUAUUUCUGUGACACUCCUCUCAUUGAUAGAUGAGAUCUAGGUUCUCUCUCCUUGAAUCUGGACAGGCUUGUGGCUGUUUUCACCGACAGACUGUAGUGGAAGAGACAUGCUGUGACUUCUGUGGCUAGGUCAUAAAAGGCCAUAAGUAUGACCCUAGUUUACUAGGAACACUCAUCUUUGAGUCUCAAGGCUGCCAUCUUGAAAGGGCAUGUUGACGGCUCUAGUUGACAGCUCCAGCAGAGCUUGUCCUUCAAACAUCCCAGUCCAGGCGCCAGACGUGUGAAUGAGGAUAUCGUCUUAGAAGAGGAUCUUACAAUCCAGAUAGUGAAGGUUACUUAUGACAGGCUAUUGUGACAUCAUCAGUUAUAUCACAUCCGUAUAGUUAGAGCAGUUGUGAAAGAGCAUCAGCACCUUCCACUCUACAGGAGAGAAAUAGGCAGCCCAUGGUUCACAGAUAUAUCCAUUUUUGUGAGGGAGCCUGUGGCCAUACCAAGUCCCGAUCACCCACUCACUGAGGAAAUUAUUUCUUCAGAACAACUUGAAUGGACUGAGCAAGCAAUUUUCUCAGAAGUGUCCCCAUUCGAUGGAGAAGCUGAGCUAUUCUCUCUUUUUUUUUUUUUUUUUUUUUUUUUUUUUUGAGACAGAGUCUUGCUCUGUCACCAGGCUGGAGUACAGUGGCGCGAUCUCAGCUCACUGCAACCUCCAUCUUCCGGAUUCAAGAGAUUCUCCUGCCUUAGCCUCCUGAGUAGCUGGGACUACAGGCACGCACCACCACACCCGGCUAAUUUUUGUGUUUUUAGUAGAGACGGGAUUUCAUCAUGUUGGCCAGGCUGGUCUAAAUCUCCUGACCUCGUGAUCUGCCUGCCUUGGUCUCCCAAAGUGCUGGGAUUACAGGCGUGAGCCACCGCGCCCGGCUGAAGAUAUUCGACCAAAUUCAUCAACCACAGAAUUUCUGGAUAUGCA
rnacentral:lncRNA from 1 species